GAUUCCUGGUGUAACUGGCGGAUUUGUGGAAACGAACCACAGGGGAGCACCGGGAAAUGAAAUAGUCGACCGCCUGGGCUGAGCAA
rnacentral:ncRNA from 10 species